GGGAGGGAGCCAGAGCCGAAGCCGAGCCGGGCCCCGCGAAAGCAACAGCAGAGCCAGCUCCUCCUUCUCCUCCUCCUCGGCAGCUAUGACUAACUCAUGUGGGCUGGAUCAGGAUGAUCUUGUGAUUUGAACCGUCGGUGAAAAGAACGUAGUGUGUGUCUAGCUUUGGCCUGUGUGCAAAUCUGAAUUGUCCCCUUUACCUGCGCAAGAGUGCUACAGAAGUGCACAGAGCAUACGUUUUAUACAUGGCAAUGUAUUGGAAUGAGAAAAAAGGGCGGAUUUGAAUUUCUGGAUUUCCUCAUGUGUGGAUGCAUAGAACUACAUUAUUCUGUUGAUGCUCAGUAUAUAUUUUCACUGUUCCCAAUCCAGAUUACACUGAGGAGGUGCCAGCAUUAUUAAUGUUGACAUUAUCAGUACUACUCCACACAGCAUUGCAAACCCUGAAUGCUUUUGCUUCCGUGAAGCAUCCCUUUCUUCCCUUUUCUUCACCACCAAUUGCUGCUGGAGCAGCAGCAUAGAGGAAGGAAUUGUGUUUGUCCUCUUCUUGGUCAUCCCACUCCUAUGCCUUCUUAAGAAAAUCCUGGAGCACGGUGGAGCAGAACUACAGCAUAUGUGGGGCUAUUUGGAGCCUGCAAAUCUCACUGUGGGACUGGGCAAGGAAAAGGACUGUGACAGGAAGCUAUGUAAAUUGGCCAAAUCAUGAGGACUUGCUAGUUCCAGUGUCAAGUCAGUGGCUCCAAAGACUACAAAUACCAACUGAAAACAGCAUUGCAGCAGCAAAGAUAAGUGACUCUAAUACUUUAAGAAAAAUAGGACAUAGAUAACUUUUUUGAAUGCCAAGGAAAAGAUCUUAAUGGUAGAACCAGAAAAAAACCAUCUUGUCCUCUUUCACCAAUAAAUUUUGUUUUGAAAUAUUUAUCUUUUCCUGAACUGCACACUAAUGUACAAGCUUCAAAAUCACACUGGUGAUUAGAUAGGCAUUAUUUAGAUAUUUCAUAGUCAUUUUACCAUUUGAUUUUUGUGGAUGAUCUUUCAUGUUAGCAGUAAAACAAUAUCUUAACUUUGUCUCUUUCAGUUACAUCAGUUUAGGUUUUGACCUAAUUUUAGUAUUGAACAGCUUCCAAAACUAAAAUUGCUGGGAGAAAUAAAGCUUUAUUUUUCAUUUCCCCCCCCCCCCCCAAACUGUUUCUGCAUUUUUCUUCCUCCUCUGUACAUCCUACUCACCAAGAGCCCAAAACUAAUAAAAGACCUUAUUUUUUCAGUUGACUGCAUAAAUGUAAAUGGGAAUUUAUGAGAAACAGUGCUAAAGGCAUUAUAGUAUAUCAGCGCUUAAGAAAUUUCUGAGCCACUAUUUACAUAGCAUCCUUGUUCUCCUAAAUGCAAAUGUAUAGAAUAUUUCAAUUUUUUUUUUUUUCAGGAUUUCGCUGGCCAAAUUUGACCAAACAUGUCUGGUCUGUUGUGUUUUGCGAUGAUGUUCUAAUCUGAACCUGAAGUUUUCACACAGAAAAAUCAGAUGAGGACACAGAAGAAUUCACUGGGCCAUCAGUGCAGCCCAGUUGCAAUGUAUAGGGGUAGUGGUGCAGUGACUGGUUUCACCCUUCUCUGGAUACCAGCUGUGGUAUUGGCUUCAGGGAACCAACACAAGCACUUGAACUGUCCCUGGUACUUCAGGUUCGGCCUGAACGCCUCCAUAGGAAGACUCUCAAUCAGGUUUUUCAGACACGCCCACAAUCCACAGCCCCUUCUGUUUCAUGAGCACUCUGAAAAUCAAGACACAAGACAAACAACCCCUUUGAACAAAGCUUUCUGAAGCAUCAUUCCAGCUAUAAAGGGAUGGAGAAGAAAGACCUUGAUCUUUGACUGCAUGGUAAGAGAUGCACCAAACUCCACGCAGGAGUGAAAUCCUGCUGGGAUCACCACUGGAAUUCAGCCUCUAGGAAGAUUGCAUGGUGCUCUGCAUGUAGCAGCAACCCUCAGAUCAGUGCAGUUUGAUGUCCCUAACCAAGGCUGAUUUCAAGAGGUGCCUCCACACAUGAGGAUGUGUCCUGAGUACACCCUGUCCUUCCCAGCCAGGGGGUCUGCAGGUGCCCUCUGCGGGACUGUCUCAUUAAUUCAAGUAAUUAUCCAGAGCUGUGACUGAAUCUGCUUUCUCUGAUGCACUGCAAAUUAAGGCCAAAGAAGAGCUUCUGAGGAGCCACAGAACCCAAGCAAUUCCAAUAAGUUCUCCGAACGUGUACUGAGGAGGAAGAGAUGCAGUUCAGUGUAACUGAAGGGUGUGCCCACUGUCAUCUUGCAGCUGCAAGCUUUCAGUUAGGCAGGCUGCCUUCCUGGAGACUUAUGUGGCUUCAAAUUUGAGCUGAUUGAGAGAAAUGGCUAUGACUGAGGACCACUUACGGAUCAUGGCAAUCAAACAUGUGAGCUGGACCCAGGAUAUCCUGAGGCUAAAGGAAAGAAUUCCUGAGAAAUUUGCCUUGGAGUGAUUAAAAUACAAUGUUUGCAGACAAUUACUUUCUCACUGAAAAGGUAGGUUUACUGGUAACAGAGCUUGACAGGCACUUGCUUUUGCCAGUGAUUAUGAACCUGCAACAUAUGGCCAGAUGUACUCACUUUGCGUUCACUUGCUGCAAUGAUUGAAAAAUUAAUUCUGAAAUCCAAAGACCUGCAACUGACAGUUUGCUAAUGAUGAGUGAUGUGGCUAUACCAAAUUGUCUAAAAAAAUAUUUAUUGAAUUCUGGUCUUCUGAUUUAUGUCUUUAUGUCUACUGAAAUACUGCUUUUUACAGUGUCACUGUGUAUAUUGCCAAAGUGAUUCUGGUCCUGUUCAAUGAAGCUGUGUUUUUAUGUUUUUAAUUAAUGUAAAUUGUAUUAUAUCAUAUUGGAAUUUACACAGGAGGGACUAAGAGCAAUGUAUUUUGGUUAAAGAUAUUCAGUAUUUAAUCAGACCAUACUAAAAAUAUAUAAAGAACUUCAUUCCCUAAGUUUACAAUCCAGUUGUUAAUCAUCAAAGCUAUUCAGUUUUCUUGGCUUCUUUAUGUUUUUCCAAAGCAACUUUUAAUAUAUCCACUUAUUUUUAAUUUCAGCUCUCUUUUACCAUGUGAGUAGGACAGUGAAUAUGAUCUAAAGUUCUUAUUGCCAUCACAGUGUUAUUACAGGUGUUACUGCUAUCCUAGGUAAGACUCUUGCUUUGAGUAAGAUAGUUUUAUAUACUGAACAGAAAAUAAAAAAAAUAUGAAUAAUGUCUAUGCUUGAACCAUAAUGGAAAUCUGUCAUGCUCUGGUAGUGGAAAAUGAGGACUCUCCCUGACAUGAAUGCACCUAAGAUUAAUGCACUAAAGGUAAGAUUAAUAACCUGAAUUUUUAUGCUGAGAAGGCAAGGUACCACUGUAGCAUCAGCAACUCCUGCCCCAGAUUCCCUAGACAGCUACUGAAGAGUUAUGUCCCCUCCAAACACUGAAAGGAAAGGCAGCAGCAUGAUAGGAACCUGUUUUACAGAAGAGGCCAGGGACACUACCCUGGAUGGCAAUCUGGAGCCUGAGUCAGUAUGAUACCGUUGCAGAGAAGGGAAAACCCCUCCCUGGAAUGAACAGUCUUCUGUUCUAGGGAGCCUUGGCAACACCUGAGCUGGAGCGCUUUGUCCUGUGCAGCAAGUGAGAAUAGGCAGAGCUCUAAGAAAUGUGAUGUAUUGGAUUUGCGUGGCCAGGUUUUGGUAGUGUGGCUACAGAGGUGGCUUCUGUGAGAAUCUGCCAGAAGCUCCCUCCAUGUCCAACAGAGCCAAUGGCAGCUGGCUCCAAGAUGGACCUGCCACUGACUGGCCAAUCAGAAAUGGUGGUAACACCUCUGUGAAAUCAAAUUUAAGAAGAAAAAACAAGUUGUUGAGCAGUCGUAAUUGUGACCAGAGAAGAGCAGGGUGAGAAUAUGUGAGAGGAACAACUGUGCUGAAACUAAGGUCAGUGGAGACGGAGGGGAAGGAGGUGGUCCAGGCACUGGAACUGAGAUCCCCUUGCAGCCAAUGGUGCCCCUGCAGUCCAUGGAGGAUCACAGGGAUGCAGAGAUCCACCACUGAGAAAACCCAUGCUGGAACAGGUGGAUGCCC